rnacentral:rRNA from 1 species
AGCGAACGCUGGCGGCAGGCUUAACACAUGCAAGUCGAGCGGGCACCUUCGGGUGUCAGCGGCAGACGGGUGAGUAACACGUGGGAACGUACCCUUCGGUUCGGAAUAACGCUGGGAAACUAGCGCUAAUACCGGAUACGCCCUUAUGGGGAAAGGUUUACUGCCGAAGGAUCGGCCCGCGUCUGAUGAGCUAGUUGGUGGGGUAACGGCCUACCAAGGCGACGAUCAGUAGCUGGUCUGAGAGGAUGAUCAGCCACACUGGGACUGAGACACGGCCCAGACUCCUACGGGAGGCAGCAGUGGGGAAUAUUGGACCAUGGGCGCAAGCCUGAUCCAGCCAUGCCGCGUGAGUGAUGAAGGCCUUAGGGUUGUAAAGCUCUUUUGUCCGGGACGAUAAUGACGGUACCGGAAGAAUAAGCCCCGGCUAACUUCGUG